GUGUCAGCAGCCGCGGUAAUACGUAGGUGGCAAGCGUUGUCCGGAGUUACUGGGUGUAAAGGGCGUGUAGGCGGGAAAAUAAGUCAGAUGUGAAAUUCCAUGGCUCAACUGUGGCGCUGCAUCUGAAACUAUUUUUCUUGAGUGAUGGAGAGGAAAGCGGAAUUCCUAGUGUAGCGGUGAAAUGCGUAGAUAUUAGGAGGAACACCAGUGGCGAAGGCGGCUUUCUGGACAUUAACUGACGCUGAGGCGCAAAAGCGUGGGGAGCAAACAGGAUUAGAAACCCUGGUAGUCC
rnacentral:rRNA from 1 species